AUACAUUUGAAAGUUUUGAAACCUGGAUUUUGCAAAACAAAAUGAUAACUUGUAUGACCGGUAAUUUAGCACGUAAGACUAGAAUCAGUUCUUUUAUAGUAACUGGAAAUGGAAAUGGAUUAGCUGGAUUUACGUUAUCAAAAGCCAAAGCAUCCCUAAAAACGGUUAAAAAUAGGGCUGGUCAAAGACUAAUGUAUAUUCCUUAUAUACAUAUAAGGAAUACACUGUGUUAUAUGAUUUCUUUACACAGUUUGAGAAUAUAAAAAUAUUUGUAAAGAAAAUUCAUGAAGGAUAAUGGCUUGUUUGUCAUCAUGCGAUAAAAGCAUGUUGCGAGAUAAUUGGCAUAAAGGAUAUGUAUGCCAAAGUACAAGGAGGAAUGUAAAAGCAUUCUUUAUUGGUUUAUUGCAACAGAUAUUUCUAUUG
rnacentral:lncRNA from 1 species